rnacentral:lncRNA from 1 species
AGUGUUUUUUCUGUGUACUUUUGUUUCAGUAUAUAUAUAGACAUGAUAAACAUGUUUGAGGCCUUAUGGAUGUGGUAGAAGCAGCUUGGAUUAAUUAAGACUCCAUGGAGUCUUAAUUGAAAAGUCAACAGUCCAUCAAUUCAGAACUGCCUUCUGGACUAGGAAAAUGAAAUAGAUGGUAAAACAUUCAUUGACAUAAUGAUUGACCUACUUUUGAUCCUGCUCCAAAUUCUCAUAUAGUUCUAUGUAAACUAUGUCAGUUUCACUGAUUUGGUGAAAAGCAACUAUAUUAGAUCUAUAUCUCAUGCAUGUUCUUAAAUUAGAAUGUAUUAUGGAGUUUCCAAUUAAUUUAAAAAUGGAGUUAAGCCAGUUGUUAAAUAUGUUGUGUGUCAAAACACCUGGGAGCUAACAUUAGUACCACCCUAAACAUUUUUUAUUUUGAAAACUGGGAAAUGCAUUCCAAGAAUUUGUUUUUUAAAAAGUUCCCCAAGCUGAUUUUGAUGAAGCCAAUUAUCAGUUGGUGGUGAAUUUGGCAACUUUGGGCCUAGUUUUAAGAUAUUCAUCUUAAAAAUUCAUGGCAUCAUGCAAUCUUGAACUUUCUGUAUUUAGUCUACUCUUUAAAAGAAGGAGAUGGCUAUAUAUAUCUCAUGUAUAGUCACCAAUGUGUAAGACCUUCAGAUUCUUGAGCAUAGUACAAUGAUAAUUGUUUUCAAGAGAAAAAUCUGUAUGUGCUACCCUUAUUCUGUGGUGAUUUUUUUUAAAUACACAGUAAUGAUGCAUAGAAGUUAAUUCAUAGUGUACAAUAAAAACUAAUUUAUGUGGGCAUUACAUAUAAAACAUUUUGAGAAAAUAAAACUGAGUUAAUAAAAUGGCCCAAUUAAGUCUUAGGUUAAUUAGUUAAAUAAUAUUUUAAAAGUGCUUGAAGAGAACUUAAAAGCUCUGUUGGAACAAAUAAAAGAGUUGCUUUAGCAAGCUUUAGUUUAUAAUAAGUCGCUUUAAGUGCCAUUCAUGUAUAACUAGUUGCCAC